GAAUUCGCCCUUAGAGUUUGAUCCUGGCUCAGGAUGAACGCUAGCGGCAGGCCUAAUACAUGCAAGUCGAACGGCAGCGCGGGGCAACCUGGCGGCGAGUGGCGAACGGGUGAGUAAUAUAUCGGAACGUACCCUGGAGUGGGGGAUAACGUAGCGAAAGUUACGCUAAUACCGCAUACGAUCUAAGGAUGAAAGUGGGGGAUCGCAAGACCUCAUGCUCCUGGAGCGGCCGAUAUCUGAUUAGCUAGUUGGUGGGGUAAAGGCCUACCAAGGCAUCGAUCAGUAGCUGGUCUGAGAGGACGACCAGCCACACUGGAACUGAGACACGGUCCAGACUCCUACGGGAGGCAGCAGUGGGGAAUUUUGGACAAUGGGCGCAAGCCUGAUCCAGCAAUGCCGCGUGAGUGAAGAAGGCCUUCGGGUUGUAAAGCUCUUUUGUCAGGGAAGAAACGGUGGAGGCUAAUAUCCUUUGCUAAUGACGGUACCUGAAGAAUAAGCACCGGCUAACUACGUGCCAGCAGCCGCGGUAAUACGUAGGGUGCAAGCGUUAAUCGGAAUUACUGGGCGUAAAGCGUGCGCAGGCGGUUUUGUAAGUUUGUCGUGAAAUCCCCGGGCUCAACCUGGGAAUGGCGAUGAAGACUGCAAGGCUAGAAUCUGGCAGAGGGGGGUAGAAUUCCACGUGUAGCAGUGAAAUGCGUAGAGAUGUGGAGGAACACCGAUGGCGAAGGCAGCCCCCUGGGUCAAGAUUGACGCUCAUGCACGAAAGCGUGGGGAGCAAACAGGAUUAGAUACCCUGGUAGUCCACGCCCUAAACGAUGUCUACUAGUUGUCGGGUUUUAAUUAACUUGGUAACGCAGCUAACGCGUGAAGUAGACCGCCUGGGGAGUACGGUCGCAAGAUUAAAACUCAAAGGAAUUGACGGGGGCAAGGGCGAAUUC
rnacentral:rRNA from 1 species